GGGCCCGCACAAGCGGUGGAGUAUGUGGUUUAAUUCAAUGCAACGCGAAGAACCUUACCAGGGUUUGACAUCCUGCAAAUCUCUUGGAAACAGGAGAGUGCCUUCGGGAAUGCAGUGACAGGUGGUGCAUGGCUGUCGUCAGCUCGUGUCGUGAGAUGUUGGGUUAAGUCCCGCAACGAGCGCAACCCACGUCUUUAGUUGCCAGCAUUUAGUUGGGAACUCUAAAGAGACUGCCGGUGAUAAGCCGGAGGAAGGUGGGGACGACGUCAAGUCCUCAUGGCCCUUACGGGAUGGGCUACACACGUGCUACAAUGGCAGUGACAAUGGGUUAACCCCCAAAACUGUCUCAGUUCGGAUUGGAGUCUGCAACUCGACUCAUGAAGUCGGAAUCGCUAGUAAUCG
rnacentral:rRNA from 1 species